CAAAUAAACAAACAUGUCGUUAAAAAUUUUUUUAAUAAAAUAAGUGAUUAGAACUACCUAUAAUCUCACUAUAAAACCAGUCUGAUUACCUGAUAUAGAAAUAUAUUGUUUUCAUUACAAAAUAGUUUAAAUAUACAAAAAAGUGGUAACAUACAAAAUAUCUAGGUACCCAUAUUACCUCCAUGUAUGUAUUUACACUUUUACCACAUAUGCAAAUAUCCAUGAAAAUAUGUUGUAUUAUUUUGCAGGUUUGAAAAUCUUAUAUAAAAGUUGUAUCACAGUACACAAGGAUGUAUGUUUUUAAAUACUGGCUUGGCCAAAAAGUUCGUUCAGGUUUUUCUGUAACAUCUAAUGUUUCUAUCAUAGUAACACAUGCUAUGAACUGCUAGUUGGGGAUGAAACUUUGCAACCUCUCUUCCUACUUUCCCCAGGAAGGGGUUAUCAUGGAGAUCAGAGCUGAGAUUCUAAAGAGGUCUUGCCUGGACUAGAAUCCAGAAUCUUUUAUUCACCAGCAGUGGAACAUUUGACACAUUACUUACUCUGGUCUUCAAUUUCCUCAUAUGUAAAAUAGAGGUAAUGACAGUCCCUGUUUCAUAAAGUCAUUUGAGUAUAAAUUAAGGCUAUGCAUGGGAAGCACUUGGUACAGUGAAGCACAGUGUCUAGACAUGCCCACUAAGUGUUUAUUAUCAUUGUCAACAUCGUUAUUAUUGCAGAUAUGAAUCUAGACAUCACUCUUUCGUCCUAUAAUGAAAGAGUGGUGCACAUAGCCAGGGCCAGCUCAGAGCAGGGGAGGCUAACGUGUUCUCUGCCCUCUCCAGUGGUGUGCUGAUCAACAGUUAACAUUCAGCUUUGGACAAGGGUAGGGGGUGGGGAGCCAUAUUUUGUGGUGUUUACCAAUUUCCAUGUUGUAAAUUCUCCCACCAUGGCUGAUUUCAAGCUGUCAACUUGAGUUCACUGAAUGCUGACUGCAGAGUUGGGAAGAGUUCUCAGAAUCAGCUCUCAAGUCACAGGAGCCUGCUCCAGCACACCCAAGAGAGAAUUUCUUAUCUUUUUUGCUGCCUCUUUGUUCACUGCUGAAACCAGGAUCUGUUCCGUCUCAGGCAGAGGACCAGGCAUACCUAUCUGAUGUGCUUCUGCCGAGAACACUUCCAAAAGAAGCAACGAAGUCUACAAAAGCACAGUUUGACUCAAGUGGAUCCAACCAAUUUGCAAAUGGAAAAUAACACUGAGGAAUAAGUUUUGCAUCCCAAGUGUGGCUGCUUCAAUUCAUCCUUCAUGAAACUAAAGAUAGAAAGUUCUGCCGGUUAACAAAACCUGCCACACGAGCCUGGAGGAAAAAAGACUUGAUGGACGAGGAAGAACACGUUUUUCAUAAUUCUUUUCAAAAUAUGAGGGGAGAAAAUAAAAGGGAGAAAUAUGUCACUCGAUGCAAGAGUCACUCUGGACAAGUGUCUUGGAACCAUGCCCUAAAGGACAGACAUCAUGGCAACCAAAGGGGGAUAUAAUUACAAAUGAGGACCUUGGAGGAAUCUCUAAAACAGUUCCUAUGAAGGGUGAGUGCAGAAAAAUCUAUGCAAAGGAAGAAAGACAAAACUGGGACCUCACAUGAGCAGAGAAAAAGAAAAAGGAGGUCGUUGUGGGAAUGAGGAUGAGGAUGGCGAGGAGAGGGUGGUAGGCUAAUGUCAUGCCUGGUGAUAAAUGAAAAUGUUGAAUUUCCACAGACGUGGGAAGCAACAGCUCUAAGUCAAAAGCUGCUUUUCUGGUUUGCCUGAGAAAUCACUGUCACUGGGACCAGAAGUACUCAAAAAAAUACUGCAUUCUCUCUGCAGACCAACAUGGGAAGCAGCCCAAAAGGAAAAGAGCUUGUUCACGUCGCCAGCCUGUGUCCUGCAGCUCACAUGGCCUGAGUCUCACUGCUGGGGUCCAGAUUGUUCUGGGUGGCUUUCUGCACUUUUUCUCAUGCCCAGGAAGAUUAAAUUCUUAAAACCAAUAAGCCAAUAUGUCUAAUUUCCCCUCAAAAUUGUGUGUUGAAAACCAUUCAAAAAAGCUUCUCAUUAUAUGUCUUGAGAAUAAAAUAAAAUUAUUUACUUUACCAGACUUGAUCUUCAUUUAACUUUCAGUUUGCUGUACAACAUUUCAGAUGCAGAUUAUGGCAUUAGAAUAUGGAACUUGAGUCACAUCUGUGUAGUACCUGGACAUUAUGAUGUCAUUAAAAUAUCCUUUAAAAUUUUUAUUAUGGAAAUUUUCAAUCAUACACAAAAAUAGAAUAAUAAUGAAUCUCCAUGUACCCAUCACCCAGCCCCAAGAAUUAACUUCUUAGUAAAAUGCAUUAAAAAUUCGCCCAUGUUGCAUGAACCAAUAGUCUGUUCCUUUUUAUUGAUGAUAAGUAUUCCAUUGUGUGGAUUACCACAGUUUUUUCAUUCCACCUUGAUUGCUUGUUUGGGGGCAAUUAAGAAUGAAUAUUCACAUAUAGGUUUUGUGUGAAUGCAAGUUUUCAUUUUACAUCGAUAAAUACCUAAGUGGGAUUGCUGCUAAGUCAUGUGAUAAACAUGUGCUUGACUUUAUGGGAAACUGCCAAUUUUUUUUCCUAAAC